UGAUGUGAGGGCAAUCUGAUUGUAUCUACCAUCCUGUUGACCACCAGGGUUAGCUUGACUAAGCUGGCUAGUUAGAUGUGAGUCUUUUUCCUCUCUCACUUUCUAUGUAUGUUCCUUCCUAAACUAAGCUGCAGGCUCAGUGGAAGAGGACAACUUUCCUUGAAUAGACAGAAAAUAUAUCAGUAGUUGUGGUUUG
rnacentral:snRNA from 1 species